GGCAGUUGUUGCGUGUUGACAAUGUGUCAGGUCUAAUGACCAAACAGCCGGCGGACACACAAGCAUUUGAGCAAAUUAAGAAGAAUGGCAGCCGCUUCGGCUGGACCUUU